GAAAUUUAGCUUUUGCUCAUGCAACCCUAGAUUGGAACUCUUCCCGUUCCACGAUUCUCUAACCUCUUUUGACAGGUCUUUGACUUAUAAGGCUUUCGCCUUAAGUGUUGAAGAGGGAAAAAGGGUUCAAGGGAGGGUUCGUUGAUUUUGAGACAAGGUGAGGUCUCAGAUUUGGUUUUCCAUUGUGCCUAGUUGUGUUUGAGGGUUGUGGGUGGUAGGGCUGUGGAUAGGGAUAGGAGACAGUCAUCUGGGACCAAUUUGACGGGGUUCUGGUAAGUUUUAGGGUUUGGGGUUAACUUCGAUUUGAUAUUCGAGCCGGUCCGUUAGGAUUCGAAGGGUGUGGUUUAGAUGGUUGGAAUGAGGGAGGGGAUGUGGUUCAGGGGUGUUAUUUUGGGUUGGUUUAGGGUUGGGUCGCCGGAGACUGUGGUGUCGGCGCACCUUCUGUCAAAUAUUCGAGGAGUUGUGUGCUUGUUCAAAGGAAACAAACAACGGGAAAGGAAAGAGGGGUCGAGGUUGUCCGAUGGUAUAAAUCUGAGGCCGUUUGGUGUCCGGCUGCCGCCGUGAGGCGAUUUCUGGUGACGGCAUUAGGGUGGUUGAUGGGUG
rnacentral:lncRNA from 1 species